rnacentral:rRNA from 1 species
AUGAGGAAGAAGCUGGGCACCCGGUUCCCCGCGGCACGGAUCAAAAAGAUAAUGCAAGCAGAUGAGGAUGUUGGCAAAAUUGCACUGGCUGUGCCUGUUUUAGUUUCGAGAGCCCUUGAAUUGUUUCUGCAAGAUUUGAUUGACCGCUCAUACAAAAUUACUCUUCAAAGUGGUGCAAAGACACUGAAUUCCUUCCACCUAAAGCAAUGUGUGAAGAGGUACAGCUCUUUUGACUUCCUAACUGAGAUUGUCAACAAGGUGCCAGAUCUCGGUGGCGGUGAAUCUUGUGGAGAUGAAAGAGGAUUACCCAGAAGAAGGAAAUUUUCAAAUGGAAGCGACCCAGAGAAUGAGGAGCCCCGAUCUAGCAAAAUGCCCAUAAGAAGCUUGAACACUAGUCCCAGAGGACGAGGCAGAGGUCGAGGAAGAGGGCGAGGGCGGCCUCCAACCAAGAGAAAGGAAAUUGGUUAUGUACAGUUUGAGGAUGAGAGCAGCAUGUUUGCUGAACAAAGUGAACCCUUGCCAGGAGAUGAGAUAGUUCCAGAGACCAACCGUGGCAAUGAGAUUAUUCCCCAAAGCUCACAUCCUCUAGUGGAGGCUCCAUCGGUCGUGACGCCAGCUGUGAUUUCAAAGGUUGAAAAAGCCACCAACCAUCAGCCAGAUUUGCCUAUGCCAGAUGCCAUUGGAGGCAUUGGUGUUGGACCGUCCAGUUUUGGACAUCUGACAGUGCAGGUUGAUGAGGAAGAGGACUACGAUAAUGAGGAUUAG